UUCAAAAUUCAAUUCGGACACAAAUAUAGAGGCGUUUUUUAGCUUCAGAAUCUAAUAAUAAUAGCAUAGAGAAUGCAAAGUUCAUUAGGUAAGCAUGUUUAGCGAGUUAGUUGCAGAGAGCUACAUAUAUGCUCUCUUCGUUCGACGCCGAGUCUUAAAUAUGAGUUUUGUAAUUUUUAAAUUAUAAACAUAUCAGAUGAAGACAUCCGUCCACAUUUCAAAUUCAAAGACGAGAACACAACGAUUUCCGUUUACUUCGGCAAAAGCUCGCUACACGGAACGCUAUAUGCCCGCGCAUACAACAUUGGAGCGGAAAAUGUGCACUCCAGAACAGCGCCGGCGAAACAACUUUAUUGUAAAUGAAGAGCUGGAACUGAAUAUUUUAUUUUACGUUAAUAUUAUCCCACGGUUUCAUCAGAGCUCUGGAAAUGAAAUUAAAUACCAAUAGAGAGUCUGUACUAAGAGUAAUGAAAAAACACAAGACCGUGUGCUCCGCCAUAGAUUUAAAGAAAUAACUGAACACUUACGGCAUCAGUUUGGCGAAACAGUUAUUACUAUUUAUGUUCCGAUCUCUUGGCAGCCAAGGCCAAUGGAUUUAGAAAUAUUAGAUUUUUUGUGUGGGGGCACGUAAAAGACCGUGUAUAUUCUACUCCGGUACUUGACCUAUAGGAAAUACAACGAGGAAUUUCGAAGCACAACUCCAGGAAUAUUAGCAAGGGUUGCAUCAAUUAUUUCACACAACCUGAAAGUUUUACUAGUUAAAAAUAAACCUAAUAUUUUUUCUUCAUUUUAUUAUGCCUUUAGUUUAAAAUUAUUUAAUAAAUUGUAUUGCUUGUUUAACGUUUGCCUGUAUCUACAGGGCGACUACCUAUGUCUCUGGGGCACAAGUGAGACGGGAAAUAUAGCCGCUU